rnacentral:rRNA from 1 species
UAUCUCUGUAGAGUCUGCAUAUCAAUAAGCGGAGGAAAAGAAACUAACAAGGAUUCCCUUAGUAACGGCGAGUGAAGCGGGAAGAGCUCAAAUUUGAAAUCUUCAAGGUUUUACCUUGACGAAUUGUAGUUUAAAGAAGUGUUUUCUGUUGGUGUUUUGGUAAAAGUUCUUUGGAAUAGGACAUCAUAGAGGGUGAGAAUCCCGUAUUUGACCAUUAUUUCCAGCUUUGUGAUACACUUUCAAAGAGUCGGAUUGUUUGGGAAUGCAGUCCAAAAUGGGUGGUAAAUUUCAUCUAAAGCUAAAUAUUGGCGAGAGACCGAUAGCGAACAAGUACCGUGAGGGAAAGAUGAAAAGAACUUUGAAAAGAGAGUUAAACAGUACGUGAAGUUGUCAAAAGGGAAGCGUUUGACACCAGUGUUGUUUUCUCGAAAAUCAAUUAAAAAUGGCGGGAUUUUGUGUUGUAUUGACUUUAUCAGCUUUCUGCACUCUUUUCCUGUCUUUUUUAAUGCACUUUUCGUUUAACAAGUCAACAUCAAUUUCUUUUGUUGUAAAAGAGUCAUUGGAAGGUGGCUUUCUUUUCGGAGAAAGUGUUUAUAGCCUUUGGCUUCUGCAAUCGGAGAGAUUGAGGUCUGCAGCGUAGAUCCUUCGGGGUUAGAUACAUUUGUGCUAAGCUAUAGCCUUUCAUAGACAACUUGUUGACUAUGAUCAGUCAUGUAGCUUACUCGCUUAUGCUAUUUUACCUACGCUUAGGAUGUUGAGUCAUCACACAUCUCU